GGGAAAGUUGCAAAGUACUUUGAAGAGAGAGUUCAAGAGGACGUGAAACCGAUAGGAUGGAAGCAGAUGAAGUUGACGAACGUGUGUCGUAUUCAAAAUCGCUGUCAGCGGUUUGUUUUUACGGCCGAUGUGGGCCGGCGGCUUUGGUCAAUGCAACGCGUCUAGCGUCGAUGGUGACCCUGCGGAGGGACAAUCGGUCGACGUACGGUGCUUGGUAUGGCUAAGGUUUCGCCGGUCUUAAAGUCAGCGCCUCAKCUGACCCGUCUUGAAACACGGACCAAGGAGUGUAGCGUUUGCGCAAGUCUUAGAGUGUAUCGAAACUUUGAGGCGUAACGAAAGUAAAUGCAGUUUAAUCUGCUGACUUGGGAUGCGUUGUCUCUUGUGGACGGCGCUGGACCAAGGUUUUAUCGCGAUCGCUUGCGGUGCGGUGAAAAUAGAGCGUAAACGGUGCGACCCGAAAGAUGGUGAACUAUGCCUGAGCAGGAUGAAGCCGGAGGAAACUCUGGUGGAAGUCCGAAGCGGUUCUGACGUGCAAAUCGAUCGUCUGACUUGGGUAUAGGGGCGAAAGACUAAUCGAACCAUCUUGUAGCUU
rnacentral:rRNA from 1 species